CCAAUAGCGUAUAUUAAAGUUGUUGCAGUUAAAAAGCUCGUAGUUGAAUUUCGGGGGUCAGUAGGUUGGUCGUGCCACCGGUACGUACUGGUCUCACUGAUUCCUCCUUCCUGAUGAGCUGUAAUGCCAUUAAUUUGGUGUUGCAGGGAAUCUGGACUGUUACUUUGAAAAAAUUAGAGUGUUUAAAGCAGGCUAACGCUUGAAUACAUUAGCAUGGAAUAAUGAAAUAGGACGUUCGAUCCUAUUUUGUUGGUUUCUAGGAUUGACGUAAUGAUUAAUAGGGAUAGUUGGGGGCAUUAGUAUUCAAUUGUCAGAGGUGAAAUUCUUGGAUUUAUUGAAGACUAACUACUGCGAAAGCAUUUGCCAAGGAUGUUUUCAUUAAUCAAGAACGAAAGUUAGGGGAUCGAAGACGAUCAGAUACCGUCGUAGUCUUAACCAUAAACUAUGCCGACUAGGGAUCGGAUGAUGUUAAUUUUUUAAUGACUCAUUCGGCGCCUUACG
rnacentral:rRNA from 1 species